AACAGGAUUAGAUACCCUGGUAGUCCACGCUGUAAACGAUGUCGAUUUGGAGGUUGUGCCCUUGAGGCGUGGCUUCCGGAGCUAACGCGUUAAAUCGACCGCCUGGGGAGUACGGCCGCAAGGUUAAAACUCAAAUGAAUUGACGGGGGCCCGCACAAGCGGUGGAGCAUGUGGUUUAAUUCGAUGCAACGCGAAGAACCUUACCUGGUCUUGACAUCCACAGAACUUAGCAGAGAUGCUUUGGUGCCUUCGGGAACUGUGAGACAGGUGCUGCAUGGCUGUCGUCAGCUCGUGUUGUGAAAUGUUGGGUUAAGUCCCGCAACGAGCGCAACCCUUAUCCUUUGUUGCCAGCGGUUAGGCCGGGAACUCAAAGGAGACUGCCAGUGAUAAACUGGAGGAAGGUGGGGAUGACGUCAAGUCAUCAUGGCCCUUACGACCAGGGCUACACACGUGCUACAAUGGCAUAUACAAAGAGAAGCGACCUCGCGAGAGCAAGCGGACCUCAUAAAGUAUGUCGUAGUCCGGAUUGGAGUCUGCAACUCGACUCCAUGAAGUCGGAAUCGCUAGUAAUCGUAGAUCAGAAUGCUACGGUGAAUACGUUCCCGGGCCUUGUACACACCGCCCGUCACACCAUGGGAGUGGGUUGCAAAAGAAGUAGGUAGCUUAACCUUCGGGAGGGCGCUUACCACUUUGUGAUUCAUGACUGGGGUGAAGUCGUAACAAGGUAACC
rnacentral:rRNA from 1 species